rnacentral:tRNA from 1 species
GGAGAGUUGGCCGAGUGGCUUAAGGCGGGGGAUUACUAAUCCCUUGAACGUUUAUGGCGUUCCAUGGGUUCGAAUCCCAUACUCUCUUCCA